rnacentral:rRNA from 1 species
GACGAACGCUGGCGGCGUGCUUAACACAUGCAAGUCGUACGGUAAGGCCCUUUCGGGGGUACACGAGUGGCGAACGGGUGAGUAGCACGUGAGUAACCUGCCCACAGCUUUGGGAUAACGCUAGGAAACUGGUGCUAAUACUGGAUAUGUGCUCCUGCUGCAUGGUGGGGGUUGGAAAGCUCCGGCGGUUGUGGAUGGACUCGCGGCCUAUCAGCUUGUUGGUGGGGUAGUGGCCUACCAAGGCGGCGACGGGUAGCCGGCCUGAGAGGGUGACCGGCCACAUUGGGACUGAGAUACGGCCCAGACUCCUACGGGAGGCAGCAGUGGGGAAUAUUGCACAAUGGGCGCAAGCCUGAUGCAGCAACGCCGCGUGCGGGAUGACGGCCUUCGGGUUGUAAACCGCUUUCAGCAGGGACGAAGCUUUUUGUGACGGUACCUGCAGAAGAAGCACCGGCUAACUACGUG